UUACUCAGUACUAAAUGAGGAAUCCAUUCAGGGAAAUUAUUUCCCACUUCAUGGCCUUAAUUUGUCAAACCGUCCAGGUGCACCGAAUGCCACCCGACGGCAUAGACCUCCCGAUCUCCCACCUCAGUCCAUUCCGGGAAGAUCUGAGCGCGUCACUUUAAGCCUCUCAUCCUCCUUCCUCAUUUUCGUUCUCAAAGUUUCUUGAGAGGAGAUCUAUACAACCCAUGCCGACCAUGCCCAUCGCAGCCCAAAAUUCGAGUUCAUCGCUGGAUCCUAUCGAUCUCGGUGAUCGUCUCGUGGAUUCCCUGUACCAAUAGACUCCCCUUGUGAAUAUCAACCUCUAUGGCAAGGUGCUGGAUCAUAUGGUCGCUGUUGGCCGCGACAUCAUGUGAGUUCAUCUUGACGGACAUGAUGGUGCAGCAUUUCGUCGCCAAAGUUCCGCCUCGGUCGCUGCAGUUUUCGCCAAUUCCAGCGACACCCAAAACGAUGCUAGCGCCAACCUUUGAAGGUGACCGUCGACGGCCGCCUCUCGCCACUGUCCCAGGAAGCGCACGACGGCACAAAGAGCAACAUCGGACUGCCGCCGGAGUGCAGAACUACCACGAGCAAGCGUCGCUAUGUAAGUCGUCGACGUUAGGAUCUUCUGAUGUGCUGAACCAGUGAAACUAUAGUCUAUUAGAUCUUGAUCUAAUGGUUGUCAUUAGAUCACAAAACCGGUCCAACAUAUCAUGCCCUGCCACGUUUCUGUUUCUCUCUGUUGUUCUCUCACGUGAACAGCAAUCGAUCGAUCAGUUCGUG